rnacentral:lncRNA from 13 species
CACUCUCCUUGCCCAGGCUGUAGUGCAAUGGUGUGAUCUUGGCUCAUUGCAACCUCCACCUCCCAUGUUCCAGCAAUUCUCAUCCCUCAACAUCCCCAGUAGCUGGGAUUACAGCUUAUUCCCUGUGCAUUCAAUGUCCUUGAGGAGGAAGGAGGCUGUCAGGAGAGGAGUGAGAUCAGGAGGAGCACCCAGCUUGUGGUCAGACAGCCCGUGGUCAAAGCCAGGAUCUGCCACUCCCUCACUGCUGGGUGACCUUGGCCCCGGAGUACCUCGGACAGGGAUUCCGGCCGACGACCCCAGCACAGGCCACCGAGGGGCGCCCCAGGACACACGCGGCCGGCCCAGCUUUAACUCAUCUCCUCCACGCCCCUCUAGCCCAACACCUGUCGACGCCCCUUCUAUGCAAAGUGGUUAGGGACCCAGACCAGGACUGGGAGCGCGAGGGCUGGGGCAGAAAAGGACUCAGGGCCCCCGCUGAGGCCCCACCGAAAAAUGCCCUGAAGGAUCUGGGGUGAGUCACUUCAUUCGGGAGCUCAGUUUCUACCUCUGUUAAAUGGAAUAAUAAAAAGUGACCAUUCAAGAAAGAGAUGUUCA